ACCAGCACACCAGCACAACAGCACACCUGCGCGAUAAGCUGCUCAGGUAAUUGGCGUGUUCCUAAGCUUUCCUUCUGUUUGGUGAGCCGAGUAGCGCUGGGGCUUCCCAACGCCUGACACACGAUGGCUGAACCCGGCAAGUCAUCUCUGUGGCCCUUGAAAAUAGCUGUGGUGAGAGAGCUAGCCGUUUCUGAGACAAGCCCCGGAUGAAGCAGGGAGGAUUCGCUGCGCAGGAGUGUAUGGUGGCUCAGCUGGGCACUGGUGGGCGGUCACAGAAGCGAAGGAUUGGAAGCGGAGGUUGGUGAGCUUAGCCGUGACGAAAUCAAGAGGAUAUACAGCAUAGUGGAAGGGUUUAUUGGCUCUACAACACUGAAAUAAUGAAAAGAACACUGCGAUGGUGGGCAGCUGGAAGUUCCUGCACCAUAAUAGAAGGGUUUACUGGUUCUACAACGCUGAAGUAAUGAAAAGAACAAUGCGGUGGUGGACAUGCAGCUGACCGCCCCUGCUCUGAAGCCAUCAUUAUAUUGUGCCGCCUUUUGUGUGGGAUUCCUUGAACUGGAGAGGCGGUGGUGGUGGUGGCAGCGGCGGCCUUGGUAUAAGUCUUCAUUUGCUCCUGACCAGCCACCUUAGCCUUGCACUCCCCGAUCCUCUCUGCUCCACCUUCCCAUCACCCGCCCCCCCUCUGUGUGUGUGCGCGCGCACUCCCAGAUCCUCUCUGCUCCACCUUCCCAUCCCCUCCCCCCUGUGUGUGUGUGUGUGUGUGUGCGUGCGCGCCCCCCCUCUCCGUAUAAAAUGUCAGAUUUUCCUCUCAUUUUACAUCUUGUCAGCAUUCUUGUCUUCUCACUCUCGUCUCUCCUCUUCUCUCCAGGUAAUCAAAUUAAUGGAGAUGGAUUUGUCAGUUUUAUUAAAUUGUUUGUACUGCAUAACAAUCCCUUACUUACCAUUUACUUGAGCAGCUCAUCUUUACUGAAGCAGUAAAGUGCAAACACAUUACUUCCAUACAAUAAUAGAGUUUGGUAAUAUAUGAACAAAUUUACUAGUUAGUUUUACUUUUUUCUAUUCAAUUCAUAAUUCAACUAUAUCCACUUUACUUUUUUCUAUUCAAUUCUUAAUUCAACUAUAUCCACAAACAUCACAUGAAAGAUCUCUCUCCCCCAAUCAGUUAACUUAAUGCUUUCCUGUAUUUGUGAACACAAGCACAAGUAAAAAUGUAAAUAAUGUUGAUUUGUGGAGUCAAAAAAAAAAAGUUUUGGAAGAAGGAAUGCAUAUCAAUGUUGAUUUGAAUUAAAUGAUUCAAAUCAAGCUGAUCUUUACUCUUGUUUUUUUUUAACCCGUUGUAAUCCUUAGUCAACAUUCCAGACUGGUGUGGCCCACUAUGACCUGAUGCACGUGCCGUCCUCCCUCAGCACCACCUUGCCCCGGGCCACCAGCUCCAUUGCCCUGCAGGGAGAAGCAACACACUACUGACCAGCAAGUCAUGCACCGUGGUGGAGUUAUUAUUUUGUCUUGAGUGUCACUACCACAGCUCGGAGGAAGGAACAGGAGAGUGGUGUUAGAAAGGAGUGGACAGCUGGGAAAGGUUCAUAAACAUUGUAAACAGAGCAUGGCUACAAAGGAAUAGAGUAGUCAGGCAAAACAACCCAGUGAAGCAGAGUUACAUCCUCACCAUGAGCUGCCAGCCAGCCAAACACAGGGUGCAGGGGCCACUGUGAUGCCUGCAGGUGUGCACUCAGUUGGCUUGGUAGGACUCUUGGCAGGUUCUCCAGCAGGCCACCUCCAGUGAUGUGUGCUGCAGCCUUGACCAAGCCCCCUUCCAGCACCUUGGCCAGACUCCUGCAGUAGAUCCUGGUGGGGGUGAGCAGCUCAGCACCUGAAGGACAUCCACACAUCAAUAUCAUAACUCUCAUGACAAUUCCCUAGUUUUGUUAAGUAAAGCCUUUUGGUUCUUUGCAUAUCAGUGAUUCAUAAUAAUUUUGUUGCCUCGCCACUGUACCAACACAAAAUAUGGCUUAAACACUACACGUACCAACACAAAAUAUGGCUUAAACAACACAAGUCACAAUCUGGAAACAAACACAUUAAGAGAACCCAGCAGCCCCCCCCCCCCAAACCACAAGCCCUCUAGUCCAUCAACUUCCUGACCCACCCUCCCAGCCCAGUCAGUCCUCAGCCACCAGCAGCCUACCAAGUGUGUUGUCUGGGUUGAAGGGUGCUGGGUCGCUGUACUUUAGGUCCUGAGCCUCCACAAUCCUGCGCACCAGGCUGAACCCGUUGCUGUGCAGGCCGGAGGAAGGCAGGCCCACCAGCACAUCCCCCUCAGCCACCUCCUCAGUGCGGGGCAGCAUGUUGCCUCUCUCCACGGCCCCCACUGUGAAGCCUGCCAGGUCAUACUCCCCUCCAGCAUACAUCCCCGGCAUCUCUGCUGUCUCGCCGCCUGUUUGGGAAGAAUUGGUUGCUUCGUGAGAGACUGUCCAAACUGUGUGGCUGUUUCCCGUACAGUGAGGGCAGGGUAGGUCCUCCUCCCCAUCAGAGGCCAAUGGGGUGCAACAGUGUCAUGAAUGUAUGUGAAUAUAAGAAAAUUGUCUCAAUUUGGCUACCAUCUUUUUUGGGUGACUCACCAAUGAGGGCACAGCCAGCAAUGGAACAUGCCCGAGCCACGCCCUUCACCACACUGGCCGCCACCUUCCCCUCCAGCCGCCCCGUGGAGUAGUAGUCCAGGAAGAAGAGUGGCUGGGCACCGUGGACCAGCACGUCAUUGACACACAUGGCCACCAGGUCUUGGCCCACUGUGUCGUGCAUCCCUGCUGCCUGGGCCACCUGUGCAGGGAGGUGGUGCUGCACUGCAUACCUUCAGCUUAGUGCCAACCCCGUCAGUGCCAGACACCAGAAUGGGAUCCUUGAAGCCAGUCUGCCGGAGAUCAAAAAGUCCGCCAAAGGAGCCCAGGCCAGCCAUCACCCCGGGGCAGGCUGUGGCAGCGGCAGCUUCCUUGAUGGCUGCCACAAACUCAUUCCCGGCAUUGAUGUCCACCCCGCUGUCCUUGUACGUGACUCCUGCACCACCAAACCUGAGACACGUCAGUCAGCUUGGCCCAGCAGCCCACACAGCUACAUCUACUACGUUACUCUUCCCAAAGGUAAGACAAAUAGUGAAACAUUCAGUGGUGCUUUAUUCAAUGUAAGAAAAAUAACAUGACACACCAUACCAGUUUCCUGAGGUAGGGCAGAGGGACAAAGGUGAGGUGGUGAGGAAGGAGUGGGAGAGGUUGUGAUGUUGGUUAGUGGCUACGGUUACCUUGACUGGACAGGUUAGUGGGUUUGUUUAGUAGAGUGCCUUGUUAGUCAGCUGACCUAGAGGUGACCUUAGUGGCCCGGGCAGCAAUGUCCCUCCUGAAGGUGGCGCCCUCAAAGGUGAUGCGUCUGGCCAGCUGUGUGGCCCUGGCAGCAGUGUCCUUCAAGACUGUCCCCGUCACCACCACUGCCAGCACACGACCCCCAGAGGUGACUAGUGUGUCUCCCUCCCUCUUGGUGCCAGCGUGGAUCACCUGCACCCCUGCCUCUCCUGAUACCUCCUCCACACCUGCAGGGGUCAAUAGGUCAACAGAUGGUCCACAGCUUCACUCCUCUUGAGACCACUCAAACUUCUACAAAUAUCUACAACUGCUUUUCUUUACCUCCAACAAAUAUCUACAACUGCUUUUCUUCACCUCCACCACAAGUCACAACCCUGCAAGACCUGUCCACCACUCACCAAUCACUACAUAACAAGAUGUGCAGACACCCACCUGUUAUGGUUUUGCCCUUUGGAUAGCUGCCUGGGUAGCCUCCACUCACCACACACACCCCCACACA